UUCACAGCCCUGGACCCAGAGAUCCUAUUCUUAUUUAUAGAGCAGGUACAGCACAGGCAAUGACAUUGCAAGAUUCCCCAAAGUGCCCUACCAAAAUAUCUCAAUCCUGAGCUAAAGGGGCUAAUUCUAGGGUUGAAAAGGUAGGUUAGUCUCCAUGCUCACUUCACUCUUCGGCCUUU
rnacentral:sRNA from 1 species